ensembl:miRNA mdo-mir-7398b mdo-mir-7398b
UGUGUAGAGAUGGGAAAUAUGCUGUGUUUUCUCUUCUGGUAAAUUUCUUGCCUCUCACAGU